rnacentral:rRNA from 1 species
GUGUCAGCAGCCGCGGUAAUACGUAGGGGGCGAGCGUUGUCCGGAUUUAUUGGGCGUAAAGAGCUCGUAGGCGGUUGGGUAAGUCGGGUGUGAAAACUCAGGGCUCAACUCUGAGACGCCACUCGAUACUGCUCUGACUCGAGUCCGGUAGGGGAGCGUGGAAUUCCCGGUGUAGCGGUGAAAUGCGCAGAUAUCGGGAGGAACACCAGUGGCGAAGGCGGCGCUCUGGGCCGGAACUGACGCUGAGGAGCGAAAGCGUGGGUAGCAAACAGGAUUAGAUACCCUGGUAGUCC